UACGAAGGGGGCUAGCGUUGCUCGGAAUGACUGGGCGUAAAGGGCGCGUAGGCGGCUUACAUAGUCAGGCGUGAAAUUCCUGGGCUCAACCUGGGGCUGCGUUUGAUACGUGUAGGCUUGAGUUCGGAAGAGGGUCGUGGAAUUCCCAGUGUAGAGGUGAAAUUCGUAGAUAUUGGGAAGAACACCGGUGGCGAAGGCGGCGACCUGGUCCGAUGACUGACGCUGGAGGCGCGAAAGCGUGGGGAGCAAACAGGAUUGAGAU
rnacentral:rRNA from 1 species